rnacentral:piRNA from 1 species
UAAGAUUGAGAACAGAAGGCUGGAUAAGA